CUACGGGGGGCUGCAGUGGGGAAUAUUGCGCAAUGGGCGAAAGCCUGACGCAGCAACGCCGCGUGAGUGAUGAAGGCCUUCGGGUCGUAAGGCUCUGUCGGGAGGGAAGAACACCUUCGGGUCUGACGGUACCUCCCGAGGAAGCACAGGCUAACUCCGUGCCAGCAGCGGCGGUAAUACGGAGUGUGCAAGCGUUGUUCGGAAUUACUGGGCGUAAAGCGCGCGUAGGCGGCUUGAUAAGUCAGAUGUGAAAUCCCUCGGCUUAACCGAGGAACUGCAUUUGAAACUGUCAGGCUUGAGUACGGGAGGGGGAAGCGGAAUUCCCAGUGUAGAGGUGAAAUUCGUAGAUAUUGGGAGGAACACCAGCGGCGAAGGCGGCUUCCUGGACCGAUACUGACGCUGAGGCGCGAAAGCGUGGGGAGCAAACAGGAUUAGAUACCCUCGUAGUC
rnacentral:rRNA from 1 species